GGACUACUGGGGUAUCUAAUCCCGUUUGCUACCCACGCUUUCGUGCCUGAGUGUCAGGAACGAGCCAGUAGACUGCUUACGCCAUCGGUGUUCCUCCCAAUAUCUACGGAUUUCACUCCUACACUGGGAAUUCCAUCUACCUCUCUCGUCCUCUAGCUUGGCAGUUCAGACAAUGUAUAUACGGUUGAGCCGUACGCUUUCACUGUCUGCUUACCAUGCCACCUACGCAACUCUUUACGCCCAGUAAUUCCGGAUAACGCUUGGAUCCUCCGUAUUACCGCGGCUGCUGGCAC
rnacentral:rRNA from 1 species